AGAGUAGAAUUCCGAGCGUAUAGUGCUGUCGGGACGGGGAGUUGUCCGACAGACGAAAACAGCAAAAAGGCUUUUUGGCUGUUGCGGUUCGGUUUUCGCAUCCCGCU
rnacentral:ncRNA from 1 species